CUACUCGUCCAGUGGAGGAGGGCCGAGUCGGAGUUCAUGGCGACGGAGCACAGCCCCAUCGAUACGGCACAGAUCGACGACAAUGGAUCCACUUUCAUCUCCGGUGUUCCGGGCGCGAGGAGACGAGCAACUUCCAAGGCGGAUGGCGCAUAUGGGUCUUCAUCGUAAUGGAUGCGUGAGAUGCCAGAUCUGGUACAGCCUGCCGAAGUACGAGCGCUACGUGGUGGUCAAGGGCGAGCGCGUGCACCUGUCAGACUCGGAGGAUUCAUCUG